UCGCCUGACUCUGACCACCUGUCAUCAUCAACAGCAGCAGCAGCAGCACUAGCAACACCAAGUCUAUAUAACUCAUUCCCUUGCCUCCGAAGGCUAAGUGUUAGCUUUUGUCCCAAUAUAAGAGAUUUAUUACCCAUCCUUCCCUGGGAGCCCCUCCAAUCAUUAUAAACCCAACUUACCCAAUGAUAGCACAAUGGUGCCACAAGAAGGGAGGAGAAGAGUGGUCCAAGAUUGGCCGAAUCCCUAUUUUAAGGAUAGAUGGUAUAUGGGUAAUGAUACACAACAAAUGGCAAUAAAGCCUUACCACCACCUCUGGGCAUGCCCUCUCAUAGUAGAACCCAUGGAUGGAGUACUAAAGAGCUAAUGUGUCUAUUCACAUGAGGAGAACGACUCAACAAGCAUCCAAGGCAUAUUAUUAUUAUGGGAAUUACUCAAAUGGAAUGUUCUCUUUUAAAAGGUUCAAGAAUCUCGACCUGGAAAUUGCGAGGAACUUUUAAGCUACUAACUGCCUAGCACUGCAUCUAUUAGUUAUUGCUUAUCCGCAAACUUAAAGCUUUGAUUGGUCACCAAAUAAAUGGAAGUUCUGUGGUAGAAUAUGUUUUACAAGUCAGCAAGGGGAGCACUUCUACACGAGCGUGGUUUAUGCGUCAAUGUCUCACUCAACGAGAAUAUUCACUUGGGCAUCAAUCAGAAGUGAUCCAGUGAUCAUUUCUCACUCUUUGUGUCUAAACGCAGGGGCAUGCUCUUUGA